rnacentral:lncRNA from 1 species
CAAUGAAGUUAUACGUCCUGUGAAGUAAUAGACCGCAAAUUAUGCUUCAUUGCAUAAGCAAGUAACAGGAAAUGAAUUAUGAAGAACUCAGUCCUUGUUACGCAAGCUUCAACAAUCCUUAAUUCUGAGCAAGAAAAGAGCCAAUCAGUUGUAUAAGGUCCUAUGAACAAGGUUCUCAGAACAUACUGUGGACUAUCACACCAUCUGCACCAAGAUCCUCACAUCCAAACACAAAUUAAAAAUGAAACUGUAAAAUUUGCAAGGAAACAAUACAGACCUUUUAUCUCAUUCUCCCUCUGUUCAUUUUCAAAAGAGAAACUUGCUUGUAGCCAAGCAUAGCAAAAAAGGCUUUUAUUAAUUGGACUGGCAUCAAGCAUGCAUACAUAAAAUUGUUUAUUUUUUCCCUAUAAAGGGGUUGCCUGACAUAAAAGGGUCUUUGAAGAUGACAUUCAGAUUUUGACAUUUGCAUGAUAUUGUAUAAAUAUCAGAGGUAGGAGACUUUUCUGACAAACCAGAUGGGUCAAAAAAAAAAAAAGUAAGAAAGAAAGAGAAAGACAGGCAUUACCAUGGAAAGAUAUUAGUCCUUUACUUAAAGGAUAUUAACUUCUCUAAGCUGGGAAUUAUUAGACAAGAAAAACAAACAUAUUUGUUACAAACUAGAGCUUUUAUUUUCUUAAGAGAAUUCUGAUCCUGGGAAAAUAUGAAGUUUAUUUUUGAGAUAUAUUCUAUAUUUCAAUUAAAAGCAUAGAAUGUAAUUGAAUCUUGGCCUUCUGAGUGCUAUAGUAAUUAAGUUUUACUGUUGAACUCAUUACUGCUGGAUGGUCUUAACUUUGAUCUUAGGUUGGGCGUUGGAAUGUUUUUGAUGGGUGGAAGGGCAUUCAGGAUCCUUGCGUUCAUCAACCUCUGGAUUAUACGGGCAUAGCUUUUUUACUUCCCUUUGUGAUUUCUGAAUGCAGAUGGAGGAUAGUUAUAAUUUCUCACAAUAAUAAGAGUGUCCCUCCCAACCCCCAUCAGAAGAUCUGAACGAAAAAAAAAAAAAGAAAAACCACCUCGAUGGCACUUAGGGGCAAAGGCAGGAGAGGAGAGCAGACAGAUGACAAGAGGAUUUGCUGAUGGUGUACUUCCAUAUGGAUUUCAAAUGCCAGCAAAGGGAAUCUCCUCCAUCUGAGAGUAUAAUAGAAUAGCACAAAUUUGAUUAGACUCCUUGACCCUUAUAUCAACC